rnacentral:misc_RNA from 1 species
AAAUAAUUAGAAUAUGCUAAGGAAAUACCAUCCAAUAUAUAUAGGCAUGCGCCAUCUCAAGAUGACUAAUGAUAUUAUAUACUAACUCAAAGACAAACCAACUACCAUAAUCCUAGUUUAGAAAGGUACAUCAUAAAAAUGAGGGCUUCAAAAAAAAAUCCAAUAAAACUAAAUGCAGGUAAAUAGGAUUUUCAGUUAAAA